rnacentral:lncRNA from 1 species
GGGGGGGGGUCCAACUUUAUUUUUAAUUUAAAUGCAUUGAUCGUCAAAAAAAGGGUUGUUCCAACCCCUGGGACUCCCACCACUGCAUAUUAAAUUCAUGUAUUUGGCAACAAACGCGCGAUUUCCACGAUUUUUUUUUUUUAAGGGGGAAUGGGGGAUGGAAUGGCACAUCCUGCAUUUUUUCAUCAAAAAUAAAGAUCACAG